rnacentral:lncRNA from 12 species
GUUAGAUACUUUCUCAUGUAUGGAUUUCAUGAAAUUACCACAACAAGGCAAGGCAAAUUAUCCUUAUUUUGUAGAUGGGGAAACUAUUUCCCAGAGAGGCAAGUGAUUUGCCCAGAGUCACCCAGCUGCUAAGCAGCAGAACUAGGACGUAAACUUGGGGUUUCUGACUGAAUGCUUUUCUUCCUUGUAACACCAUCUUUUCCUUCAUAACUAGGUGGCUGAAUCAGAGCAAUGUGGACAGUUGAUUUCCAAGCUGGCACCACAGGAGAGCUGCCUCACACCAUAAAUACUCAUCAUGCUGCAAAUAUUUACCAGGUGCCUACUGUGUGCCAUCUCUGUGGACAUAGGCUUAUGUGUUCUUGCAAGAGUGGUCACCCCAGAAUUGGAGACUGUGGCUGUCAAGGGUGAAGCAGGCAAGAGGACAAAAUGGCAUGGGGAGAGCUGAAACCAGAUCACUUUCCAGGUUGCACCAGGUAAAAGGUAAAAGUAGGGUCUUGAUGAUGAAGACAGAUAAGAAUUUCUCUGUCGACCUCAUGCGAUCUAUGAAAAUGCCAGCCCCUCUCAAAGUCCUCGCGAUCAUGUCUGUUCUCUUCUUGGAGACCCAAGGCAGAUGCCAACUCUGCUGCUCUGGUUUUCCUGUGUCGAGGGAUGCCAACAGCAGCAGCUCUACUUCUAGUUCACUGGCUACUCCUGCCAUCUGCCGUCUGCGCCGUGUCCCGCCAACCAGCACCUGCAUCUGGGGGCUGUCUCCUCCCAGGGCAACUGAAUCUGAUCAAGGUCCCAGCAUUUUAAUGUUAAUGCCUUUGUUAUUCGCCUGCCAAGACUCAGGUCACCUGAGUCUUUGGGGACUGGGUUGAGAGAUGAUUUGAUGGGCAGCUGUAUGCGAAACUUCUUUCUCAUCCCAACACUGGCUUACUAUGUUAGGGGAGGACUUGGAUAGCUUCAUGUCUGUUCUCCUUUCCUGGCCUCAUUGUUUUUUCAGGCAAAGGCCCCUUGUCCAGAUAUGCCUAAAAUCUAGGAUGCACAUAGUUAAUGGGUCAUGCUUACCCACUGAGGACGUAUGUGGUAGAUUCCCACUCAGGCUACAGAGCUGGCUGCUUUGGUUUGUACGAUUUAUCAGCUGGGUGAUUCUGGUCACCUGGCUUCACCUCUUUUUGUCUUAGUAAUCAUCUAUGAAAGCAGAGGUGCUAAUAGUACCGUCUAGCAUUGCUAUGGAGAUUCUCUGGGUUAAUGUAAAUUAAAUGAUGAAAGGGUGCCAGGCAGGUAGUAUGGAGAUAGGUAAGAAAAUGUUACUGAUUAUUAGUGUGACCUCAUCUUCAUGUUUCUUUGAUUUUGCCGGAUUGGAAACUUCUAAUUGGUAUAGACUCCUCAUGGACCCCAAAGAGGUUGAAAGAACAAAACAGAGGAAAGCCACUCAAAUAAUGAUUACUAUAACAUCUGUCUGGGUUUUGAGCUUCUUUGAGGAUCAAAAAAAGAUGCCUGGCUAGACAAGCUUUCCUUCCUUCUGUCCUGUGUCCUUCCUCAAACAUUUUUUUGGGAACAGAUUAUACCUGCCUAGAGUGAAAGUAGGGUCUUGGGCUGCUGGAUGAAUGAAUCUGUACUUAAGGUGGUUACAUGGAGAGGGAACAGCAAUCAUAUAUUGAAUUAAGUACAACAGUAUAGACCUGGUCCAUAUUCUCUCUGGGCUCCGGUUCUUAUAGAGAGGGGAUAAAGGGAUUUAGGCAAUAAAAAUUGGGAGAGAAAGAGAAAAAGUAAAGAU